CCUGGCUUACCUCCUCAGUUAUGCGUCAAGGCUUGUAUCGCCUAGAGCGUAUUGUUGGUUUUCUGUAUUGGAUACCUAAUCGAAGGUAUUAUUUUGAUCGAUUGGAGUCCCUUUUCGUCUUGUGUUGCAUUCUGUGUCGCAUGAUGAACUUUGAAGCGGUCUCUAUGAUCCAUCACGUUGAUGCACUUGCAUUGAUGUUGUGGCCCAUUGAGCUUUGUUUGGUUUCUUGGAUAUGGAACAUGAAGUGGGCAUGGGGCUGUCAUGAUCCUCUUUUUGCCCUCGUAUGGUGUUCUCGAACGACGGGUCAUGCGCGCCUAGGCUCGUACCUG
rnacentral:misc_RNA from 1 species